UACGUAGGGGGCAAGCGUUGUCCGGAUUUAUUGGGCGUAAAGCGCUCGCAGGUGGUUCGUCGCGUCGUGCGUGAAAGACCCCGGCUCAACUGGGGGAGGUCGUGCGAUACGGGCGGACUGGAGGCCAGUAGGGGGAUGCGGAAUUCCGGGUGUAGUGGUGGAAUGCGUAGAGAUCCGGAGGAACACCGACAGCGCAGGCAGCGUCCUGGCCGCUUGCUGACACUGAGGCACGAAAGCUGGGGGAGCAAACAGG
rnacentral:rRNA from 1 species